rnacentral:tRNA from 2 species
UAGACAGAAGCCUGCGGGUAUUUGGGCAUCUAGCUGUUAAUUAGAGUUUUGUGGGAUCGAGGCCCACCUGUCUAG